rnacentral:lncRNA from 1 species
UCUAUCAUAGGCGUAUAAUAUCUAUUGUAAUAUCCUUCUACUACUAUCUUCAUUAAUACAUAUAUUUUCAUUUUAUGUUAAGGCUCUUCUUAAGAAUAACUUCUCUUUGUUAUAUGUUAAGGUUAAUUGUGUAUGUUCUAUAUUAUAUGGUUUUACUUGUUCUAGUCACUUUUAUUCCUAAUAUUAUAUCUGCUUUUUGCAUUUCUUCCUUUACUUUGAAUUCUAUUUUUAUUUUUCUAACUCCUAUUAUUAUUUCUUUUUCUGCUAUAUUUUUACUAUUUAUUAAACUUCUUGGUAGAUCUGGGCACAUAUCAUUAUCAGUAAUGACUCACAACAACUAAUUAGAAGUGAUAUAGUAAAAUUACUAUAAAAAAUACUUGCGACAAUUUUUAAAUGGUCAUAACAAUUAAUUAAGAGUGAUAUAGUAAAAUCACGAUUGAAACAAUGAAGUAGACAUGUCUAAUUAGAAGUGAUAUAACAAAAUUACUACACAAAAAUACUUGGAUGAGUCAGCUAAAGUAGACAUGUCAUAAAUAUCUAUUUUACCUUUUUAUUAAAUAUUAUUAAUUUUUUAAUAUAUAAAUAAAUUUAUAAUAAUUAAUUAGAGAUAAUAUAAUAAAAUCACGGAAAAAGAAUGUUAACACCGAACAACGAAUUGCACGUGCACUACUAUAUUGGAUUCUAGCUAGACACUCAUGAAAUGACAAAAAUACCCCUCAAUUAGCAAGUAAAUUUCAAGGAAGCACACAUGCUGAUGGCGUGUUGUGUGCUUUCUUCUAAUUCUUUCUUAUUAGAUAUACUAGUUACUAAUAACCCGUGCAAGGCAAGGCCCAACAAAUUUUUUUAAAAAUUUAUUUUAGUUAUUGUGAUUUAUAGUAUUUUCUAAAAAUAUAUAACAUAUUAUUUUUUUUAGAUAUUUUAAGUUUUUAACUAUUGUAAUUUAUAAUACGUUUUAUGUAAUUUUCAAAUACUUAGAUGAUCAUAAUAAUUAAUUAUGGGUGAUAUAGUAAAGCUACGAGUGAAUCAGCGAAGCAGACACGUCUUAAUGACUCACAACAACUAAUUAGAAGCGAUACAAUAAAAUUACUAUAGAAAAGGGCAAAAUUUAGAAAUAGCAUACUUAUCUCCUUAAUUAUGAGUUUCAUAGCAACAGUUUCAUAAUUACAUAAUAUAACAAGUUGUAUUUUGUAUUUUUACAAAUUAUUGCUACAAAAAUACAAAUACAUAUGAUUUUGAAUGCCCUUAUGAUCGAUAUGGAUUUUNNNNNNNNNNNNNNNNNNNNNNNNNNNNNNNNNNNNNNNNNNNNNNNNNNNNNNNNNNNNNNNNNNNNNNNNNNNNNNNNNNGUUGCUAUUUUUUGUAAUUUAAUACUUAAGUAUGCUACUUUAUGUAUUUUUUUCUAAAAAGUACCUGUGAAAAAGUUUAAAUGGUUAUAAUAAUUAAUUAGAAGUGACAUAAUAAAAUCACGAUUGAAACAGCGAAGCAAACAUAUCUAAUUAGAAGUGAUACAACAAAAUUAUUACACAAAAAUAUUGGGUGAAACAGUUGAAACAGACAUGUCAUAAAUAUCUAUUUUAUUUUUUAAUAAAUAUUAUUAAUUUUCUAAUACAUAAAUAACUAUAAUAAUUAAUUAGAGAUGAUAUAAUAAAAUCAUGGAAGAAGCAGCUUAUGAAGCAGGCAGGAUCAUAGAUAUCUAUUUUUCUUUUUUUUAUUAAAUAUUAUUAAUUUUUUAAUAUAUAAAUAACUUAUAAUAAUUAAUUAGAGAUCGCAUAAUUAAAGUCGCGAUGAAGCAGGCAGGAGAAGUAAGCAUGUUGACGGAGAGCUGCCUUAUUCUCCUACCUUUUGCUUCUUAUUAGAUAGUAAUAAAUCACUUAUAAUAAUUAAUUAGAAAUCACAUAAUUAAAAUCACGGAAGAAGCAGCUGAUGAUGCAGGCAGGAGAAGCAGGCAUGUUGACGGAGAACUGCCUUAACACAUGGAAUGAAGAAAUAAUAUUUAUGCAUUUGGAUAUGGUCGUGAUCUAUGAAUUGGAAAGAAAAUGUUUCAGAGUAGUGAAAAGUGUUGUGUUUAAUCGUUAUGGAAUUUACUCGAAAAACUUGUUGUUUUAGGAAGCAUAUAGGUCCUUCCCUCUAUGGCUCUAUGUAUUUAUCCCAUUUAUGUUACAUUGCAAAGGAUUCAUCUUCAAAUACGUAUCACUGGAUUAUAAAAAGAAAAAUACUAUUAUUAAUUUUGGGUAUUCUCAAUCAAUAACAAAUCAAAACAACCAAAAUCAAGAAUUAAAGGUAUAAGUUUUUUUUUUUUAAAUUUCUCGUAAACUUUAGAUCAUCAAAACAAACUGAGUUAAAACCUUCUAACUAAAGUUUGGUAACCUCAUUCUCGUUAAGGUUUCAAAUCUACACUCGAUCAUUAACUUGAAACUGAUUCAUUUGCAUGAAGUUUUUUCUAUCCAGAUGUGAAAACUCGUGUAUGAUCCUUGUUAUUUGUUGUUUUUUUUUUAACAAAGAGAGCCGACCUUGAUUAACAUAUGACCAUGUUAAUUUCUUCUCAACCAAUAUAUUUUCUUGGGCAUUCAGCUCCUCCAAUUCCUCUUCUUGGACCUCCACUUAAUGCCCUUGUUCUUGAUAAUUCAGUAAAGAAAAAAUGAGAUAUCUUUUUGUUUUUUAAUUCUAAUUAUCUCGCUAAUCAUUUUUACUUUCUUAAUAAAAUUAGUUCUAUAAUCAAAUUUUAAUAUGAGGCAUUAAAUAUAAACACAUAACAAAAUUAUUAUUAAUAAUUUAGAGCUAUUUUUAUUAUUUUUAUAUACUAUUUUUUUAAUGUAAUAUUCUUCGAAGAUAUUAGACAUUUAACUUGACGUAGUAAUAUUACUAUAUAUAAAAGGAAGAAUUAGUUUUAAUUAAUAAGAUGCUAGUCAUUUGCUUAUAAUGCAUUACCUUGAAUAUUAUUGUAAAAACUUUAUUUAUUAAUAUGAAGACUUGAGUUAUUUAAUUCAAAGUUUUAAAAUAUUUAAUGAAAAGUAGAUAGUUCUUCUUUCCCUUCUAAUUUAAAAUUUUAUUCUUCUAUGUUUUAUAAUCUUUCAUAUUAUUUAACUGAAAUUAAAAUCAUACUCCCUCCGUUUAAAAAAGAAUGACCUACUUUUCUUUUUAGUUUAUUUCAAAAUGAAUGCGCCCUUCCUUUUUUGAUAAUAUUUUAAUUUCAACUUUACACGUGACAUGUUAUGAUAGACGAACUAUCUAUUUUACCUUUUUAUUAAAUAUUAUUAAUUUUCUAAUACAUAAGUAACUUAUAAUAAUUAAUUAGAGAUGAUAUAAUAAAAUCACAAAAAAAUAACUUAUGAAACAGGCAGGAUCAUAAAUAUCUAUUUUACUUUUUUUUAUUAAAUAUUAUUAAUUUUUAAUAUAUAAAUAACUUAUAAUAAUUAACUAGAUAUCACAUAAUUAAAAUCACGAUGAAGUAGGUAAGAGAAACAGAUAUAUUGAUGGAAAACUGCCUAUUUUUCUGCCUUUUGCCUCUUAUUAGAUAGUAAAAAUUUGUGUAUCUUCUUAAAUACGUACAACAGGGAAGAAUAGGCUUUUAGGAAAAAGACAAAAUUAUGUGGAAACAAAAGAGAGAACAACCUAGCGAUUUAUAUCCAUCCUUUGAAGUGGCAACUCAACCAAAAUUUGAAAGAAAAACCAUGUGGCAGUCAUGAAAACUCCGUUGACAAUCCUCUUGUAACAGGAUUUAUUCUUUUGAAUUCUUUGUAUGAACUAUAGUUUUUAGAUUUUUGGAAAAUAUAUUUUAUAAACAUAAAAUAUAAGAAGAAGAACACAAGAUGAAGACUUGAUAAUAUGAACAUUGAAUACAAAAUUUGAGGCUUGAAAUACGUGCAAAAUGCUUCUGUAAAAAUGAUAUUUGAUCUCUCUCCUCUGCGAGAUUGUUAUGAGAUUAUACACAAAUAGUUUAAUGAAUAUCACAAGCCUAUUGAAUUCUGCAUUAGAAAAAUAGUGAAGAGAUUCUUCAAGAAAGCAAAAACUUAAAAUUUUUUGAGAAGAAAGAAUUUCUUGAGAAAAGAUAUAAGAAAAGUUCUCUGUAAAAGUUGUAAGAAGCUUCUCUUAAAAGUUAUGUUGAAAUCACAAGAUAUUUGAUUUAAAAGAACAUGCAAAAAUCAAAGAUGAAAAGAAAAAAUUCAUUGAAGAGACAAAUUCAAAAGAUACACCCUUUUAUUUAAAAAACAUAUUUUCAUAAUACUUUUAUUUAUUUUAUUUAAAUAAAAAUCCAACACGUGUGUCUACAUGUAUAUAUGUCAUUUUAAAGACUAGCUCGAUAGGGCAAUGAUAGAGGGACAAGUCAAUAAUCUUGCUGAACUAUGGACUCACCCUUGUUGGUUUUUGUUCUUUGUAGAUGCUUCUACUAUUGUGGUUAUUAAUUAGGUUUGAUCAUGUUUGGAGCUUUAUUGGAGUUCAAUUAAGGUGGUUCAACCAUAUUGAUCGUGAUGCCACUUCAUGCUAACUAGAUGUUUUCUUUCUGCCGAUAUGUAUUGGGUUCUAAUAAAAUUUACAUAUUCAGAAUUUAAUAGUACUCCUUGACAUUUUAUUUGGGUACGGGUGACUUCUUAGGCAUGUAAUGUUAAAUAUUUGUUAUUUUAAUAUUUUAACCAUCGAUUUAAUCACUUGCAUUUCAAUUACUAGUUUACUUCGAUGAGAAAUCUAUAUAUAAUAUAAAGAGAGUUAUAAGUAAGAUGAUGUAGCACCUUUUUUGGCCAAGGAUCUUAUUUAUCUUUUUUCUUAUUCUUUUUAAAAAUUUUUUCAUUCAUUUUUUUAAUUAAUCAAUUUAUUUACUAAUUAAAACACUAUCAUAUUUAUUACAAUAAUUAUAUGUAAUGAGUUACAGAAACAUCAACCUAUUAACAUUCUCAACUUAAAUUAUGUCUCUUCAACUUCUAUUUACUUAAUUCAUAUAGUUAACUAGUCAUUCUAUAAAUAACAAUCACCUGUGAAAUUGUUAAAUGCUAAUUUUCAUUUUCUGCUUCUUCUUUAUUUACUUUUUCUUCUUAUAAUAUAAUUAUGAUGAUUAUUACAGUAGUAUCUUUUGAUAAUGUGAUACAUAUUUUCGUUUGUUUGUUACCAGGAUUGGUGGGCAUGAACAUGGGGAGCAAAGUCAUGGUAUAAUCUUUUUAUUGAUUUAAUUUUAGAAUAGCUGAAGGUUGGUUAUUGAAAUUUUUAUGUUUAAUGCAAAAUUAUUUCUAUUCCCACUUCUUUUUGAUUGUGAUAAGUCCACAAGUUCAAAUUCAGGUAAGAUUUCAUGAUUACGAUAAGAAAAAUUGAUUAAAAAAAUUUAAUACUAAAAAUCUUAAAAAUAGUCGUGGAAGUUAAUCACGAAAAUCAUUUUUUUAAAUUUUAGUGAUGACUAAGAAGAUAUAUUAUAAAGUUUACCAAUAAAUAAAUAUUAUAUAUAUCACCUUGAAAAAGUCAAGUCAUUCAUAUAUCCUAAAAAAAAUGCUACUUACAAGUUAUAAAAUUAUUGUCAAUAACACUAAUUAUUAUUAUGUUAAAUAAUUCUAUAAAUAAUAAUUAAUUACCUAUUAAAUUAUUGAAUAUUCAUUUUCAUUUUCUAAUUCUUCUUUAUUUACUUUUUUAUUCUUAGUAUUUAUUGUCAUUUUUCAUUUCAUUUUGAAGAGUUUAGAUGUUUUAAAUCAUUUAAGCUUUAUUAAUAUAUUUAUAAAUAAUAUUGAAUUUGAUUGGGAAGGUAAAUAAGACUACAUCAUAUAUUUUAAUUUUAUAAAGCGUUAAUUAACUCUGCCACUCAAGCACUUUACAAAAUCACAAAUAUCUUGUUUUCAUUUUUAUACAUACAAAGACAAAAAUUAUAAUAAUUUUAAUAAAAUACUCUAAACAUCCUGUUCAUGGUUCUUUUUCCCUCCCCUUUCAUGAGUUUUUAUUAAUGUGUGUUAUGUCUCAAAAAUAAGAGAAAAAAAGAUUUUUAUUU